GAAUAUUGGUCAAUGGCCGGAAGGCUGAACCAGCCAUGCCGCGUGAAGGUCAGUGCCCUAUGGGCGUUAAACUUCUUUUGUGCGGGAGCAAUAAGGUCCACGUGUGGGCCGACGAGAGUACCAGAUGAAUAAGGAUCGGCUAACUCAGUGACAGCAGCCGCGGUAAUACGGAGGAUCCGAGCGUUAUCCGGAUUUAUUGGGUUUAAAGGGAGCGUAGGUGGAUUGUUAAGUCAGUUGUGAAAGUUUGCGGCUCAACCGUAAAAUUGCAGUUGAAACUGGCAGUCUUGAGUACAGUAGAGGUAGGCGGAAUUCGUGGUGUAGCGGUGAAAUGCUUAGAUAUCACGAAGAACUCCGAUUGCGAAGGCAGCCUGCUGGACUGUAACUGACGCUGAUGCUCGAAAGUGUGGGUAUCAAACAG
rnacentral:rRNA from 1 species